rnacentral:rRNA from 1 species
GACGAACGCUGGCGGCGUGCUUAACACAUGCAAGUCGAACGGAAAGGCCCUGCUUUUGUGGGGUGCUCGAGUGGCGAACGGGUGAGUAACACGUGAGUAACCUGCCCUUGACUUUGGGAUAACUUCAGGAAACUGGGGCUAAUACCGGAUAGGAGCUCCUGCUGCAUGGUGGGGGUUGGAAAGUUUCGGCGGUUGGGGAUGGACUCGCGGCUUAUCAGCUUGUUGGUGGGGUAGUGGCUUACCAAGGCUUUGACGGGUAGCCGGCCUGAGAGGGUGACCGGCCACAUUGGGACUGAGAUACGGCGCAGACUCCUACGGGAGGCAGCAGUGGGGAAUAUUGCACAAUGGGCGGAAGCCUGAGGCGGCAACGCCGCGUGCGGGAUGACGGCCUUCGGGUUGUGAACCGCUUUCGCCUGUGACGAAGCGUGAGUGACGGUAAUGGGUAAAGAAGCACCGGCUAACUACGUG